rnacentral:rRNA from 1 species
GACGAACGCUGGCGGCGUGCUUAACACAUGCAAGUCGAACGGAAAGGCCUGCUUUCCCUUGUGGAUUGCGGGUACUCGAGUGGCGAACGGGUGAGUAACACGUGAGUGAUCUGCCCCCAACUUGGGUAUAAGCCUGGGAAACUGGGUCUAAUUCCCGAUAGGACUGCAGGGUGGUGCCUGUGGUGGAAAACGAUUUUCUAGUGGUUGGGGAUGAGCUCGCGGCCUAUCAGCUUGUUGGUGGGGUAAUGGCCUACCAAGGCGGCGACGGGUAGCCGGCCUGAGAGGGUGGACGGCCACAUUGGGACUGAGAUACGGCCCAGACUCCUACGGGAGGCAGCAGUGGGGAAUAUUGCACAAUGGGCGGAAGCCUGAUGCAGCGACGCCGCGUGGGGGAUGACGGCCUUCGGGUUGUAAACUCCUUUCGACCGCGAGGAAGCCACCUGGUUGAAAGGGUGGUGACGGUAGUGGUAGAAGAAGCACCGGCUAACUACGUG